GAUCCACCCCCAAAGGGAAAUGCCAACAGAAGAGCUUCUAUUUCUUGAAAGGAAAAAUGGAUUCCUUUUAGAGUCUAAUAAGCAGGAAUCUGGGCAGCUCUGGCUCUAUCCUACUAUGCAUUGUGAUGUUGGGGUAAGAUUUAAACUAUCAAAAUCCUAAAAUCAUCAUCCCAGAAAGGCAAACCUGGGGUGAAGUGUGACUGUUUAUCUCUUUAACUUGAAGACAUUUCAAGACACCUUCAUCCAUAUUUUCUUUUCUUUUUAAAUCCAUAUUUUCUUAAUCCCCAUAGUUUUCUUCCUCCUGGAAGCUAGGACUAAAGGAGACACUCUACUGGAAGAGUAACUACCCGGAGAGCGAAGGGACUGAGCAGGAACGAAGCGAAGAACUCGGGCCUGGCCAGGGAUGCUCCCGGUCUCUGCCUCCGGCGGGGAGCGCCCGGCAGAGCCGGACCAAGGCAGGAAGCAGGUUUCCAGCCGGAGCUGAGCCCGCUUCUUCCAAAGCCCUGUGGCUGCGCACCCCUGACGCUGCCUGAGUCCGGUCGGUGGCAGGUGCGGCGGGGGAGUCCCCGAAGGAGAAGGGGGCGGAGGGCAAAGGUCAAAGCCAGGCUUCCGGCGGGCCGGGGAGCCCACACCCAGGGCAGGAGGGAGGGGUUAGGGCGGGCCGGGGCCGAACUGAGCCCCCAAGGGCGGAACCGCGCCGACGGAGAGCAAACCCUCUGUUGUCUAAUCGAGAACCAGAUUAAGAGCCAAGGAGGAAAAAAAGGCAAGAAGGCGUUCUUCAGAUUGGAAGGAUCUAACUCAACACCCCAGUCUCCUGGCCAGUGGCCAAGGACACUGGUUCUUUUCAAGGCACCUUUCUACCUCUGGACCACCUCAGCCCUUGGAUUUAUGCGGUUGCUAGAAAGGUCUAGAAAGUCAAAGGUGAGGAAAAUGGCGCAGGGGGGAUGGCACUGGCCGGACUGCAGCGUUUGCCUGCACUUGCCUCGAAUCACGUCACGAUUUUGCCCCUCACAGAUACAGAUACCCAUGCCGUCGAGUCUGAAGGCAGAAAGGGGUGCCCAGAUACUUCACUCAGUAACAUAGCAGACACUCGACCUUGAACACAGGUUUUCUACCGCUUGCGCCUUGGGGGCAGUCAACAAGGAGACAAACAGUUGGCAUAAGCUCCGAAAUUCCGAGUCUCCCCUGGCCCUCCCUUAAAUUUCCCUGACGCGCCAUUUCCCCUGAGCAGGCUCCCGGGUCAGUCACACACGCCUUGGUCAGCUUUGCGUCUACAGUCUGUCAUGGCCGGCUCUCUUUUCCCUGCAGGUCAGGAAGAGGCAUCCUGCAGCCAGUGAGGAAAUAGCCGGUUCAGAGUCCUCCACGGGGACAAGGACACAAUGUGAGCAGACUUCUAUUCGUUUUCAGGGUGAUGGGCCCAAGGGCCAGGGGCCCCAGACAAAUAAGGGGAGCGGGCUUGAAGGGUCCUGCACCUCCUGCCAGGGCAGGCCCACUGGAAGGAGGUGGGGAGCAAAUGCAGGGCUCCCACUGUGAAGCCAGGGCCUUGGGCAGGGCUGGGUGCCCGUGCCCAGUAAAGACAGAAGCAGAACAGAGUGUGAGAUGUGAGCCAGCUGAUGGCUUGACGCUGUCAGGACCUGGAGCAGGCAGAAAGAAGCCGGAUCUGCCUAUCUAGGAAAACUUUGCAGCCAGCAUCCAGGUUUGCUACAUCAGCCGCUUCACCCAAGUCACUGCCAGCUCAUAAAGUGCUUGCCAGACUCACUGGCUUUCCUCUCUACGAUGAUGCUGUUUUAUUAAACGUUGUUGAAGCUGGGGGAGGGCAGGGGGGGUCGCCGCAAGGUUGAGGGGAAGAAGCAGAGAGAGACAAGUCAGGGUGAAUUCCAUGUUACUGUUAUUUUCAAAAGGAGGCUUUCUCAGUUUUGCUUCCCUCAAGGCUGUCCCAAAAUUUGCUUAGGUGCAGGAUGGGUAGGCCCUGAUCAUAUGCAAGGUUGGAUUUAAAUGUACUGGAACUCUGUGUCUGUAUGUGUAUAGUCUUGAAGGAUCAAACAUACAGUUAACCCGCGUAAGUAUUCAUUAUAUCAGAGCAGAAACGUGGCCAACAGGUUCUAAGGAGGGCUGGUGUUCACAGUGUUUGGAGAUAUAUGUGAGAAGAUUGUGUUUUGCUUUAUGCAUACAUAUUUGCUUUGGCUGGUAAUCCUUCUGGAAGCCUGACCGUUUUGACUACGUCAGCGUGGAUCGCCUUGGGGGGUGGGAAGAAGUAUGCCAAGUUGCAAAGUGCGCUUAUGUUUUAAAAGGUGCUUCUCCCCAUGGCUGCCCUGCCAGGGGAUGGUAGGUUGUUUUCUGGAUACACUUCCUGUUUUUCCGGCUGACCCAAGUUCUCAGACAAUCCAGGGUGGGUCAGCAUCAGCUGGGCGGGGGGCGUCCCUGGGGGUCUCUGCACCUCAAGGUGGUGUCAUGGGUACAAGUUCUCCCCCAGGAGGGCCCAUCUGAGGGUCCCAGGCAAACAAAGCUGCCACUCCCAGGAGACCACUGCAGCCAGGCCCUGGGGCCUCCCUCCCCACUCCCCCCAGGACAGAUCAGGUCACCAAGUCCCCACCCACUGAUGCACCAGGUUCUCUCUGGGCCCACACUGAGCCAACAGGAUAAAAACCACCGCCUCCAGAUACCAACCUGGAUUAGACAGGCCUGGCCACAAAAGCCAGUGGAGAAAUUCAAGACCCUCUCCUCAAAAAUUCAGACAGGAGGGCCACCUGGAAGACGAACCUCAGGGACCCUCUGGGAUAGGGCUGCUUCUGGAAGCCCACUCCUGGGGUGGGGGCAGGGAGGGGUCCCACGAGCCGGUUGCUAACCUCUGAGCUGUGCACACUGGCCGGCUCCUGAGAACCUAAGCCGGAUCGUCAGUGACCCCUCGCCUCCCCCCCACCCCCCAUUUCCUGCGCUGGGAUCUCCCGCUGUUAGUCGAGCGUUUCCUGUGCCAGAGGGACUUCUGAAACCGCAAGCGGAAAUCGGGUGCCCGGCGGGGGAACGCAGAGGCGUUUCAGCGUCGCCUACGUUUCUGGCCCCUGGCAGCCAAGACCCCCGCGACCCGCCGGCUUCUCGGCCGGCGCCGCGACGUGUGGGGAACGACAAUUACACCCGAAAGGAAUCAACAACCACUCGCGGGGCCACGACUCGCAUCGCUCCGCACGCGCAGGUUCGGGCCCAGCUUUCAGCAACACCCACCCCAUCCGCUCCCGAUCGCUAAGCACUCGCUCGCCAUUUGUGGACUGCGAUGGAGCUGCGCUC
rnacentral:lncRNA from 1 species